GAAUUCGAUUCGGUGUGACAAGGCCCGGGAACGUAUUCACCGCAGCGUAGCUGAUCUGCGGUUACUAGCGAUUCCGACUUCAUGAAGGCGAGUUGCAGCCUUCAAUCCGAACUGAGAAAAGGUUUGUGAGAUUAGCUUGCCCUCGCGGGUUCGCGACUCGUUGUCCCUCCCAUUGUAGCACGUGUGUAGCCCGGGACGUAAGGGCCAUGCUGACUUGACAUCAUCCCCACCUUCCUCCGGCUUGUCACCGGCGGUCCCGCGUGAGAGAUCUUGCGACCAACACACGGCAAGGGUUGCGCUCGUUGCGGGACUUAACCCAACACCUCACGGCACGAGCUGACGACAGCCAUGCAGCACCUGUCUCUGCGUCCGGUUGCCCGGAACCUUAGUCUCCUAAGUUUGCGCGGGAUGUCAAGCCCCGGUAAGGUUCUUCGCGUUAAUCACUA
rnacentral:rRNA from 1 species